rnacentral:rRNA from 1 species
AGCGAACGCUGGCGGCAGGCCUAACACAUGCAAGUCGAGCGGGCGUAGCAAUACGUCAGCGGCAGACGGGAGAGUAACACGUGGGAACGUGCCCUUUGGUUCGGAAUAACUCAGGGAAACUUGAGCUAAUACCGGAUAAGCCCUUCGGGGGAAAGAUUUAUUGCCAUUGGAGCCGGCCCGCGUCAGAUUAGCUAGUUGGUGAGGUAAUGGCUCACCAAGGCGACGAUCCGUAGCUGGUCUGAGAGGAUGACCAGCCUCACUGGGACUGAGACACGGCCCAGACUCCUACGGGAGGCAGCAGUGUGGAAGAUUGGACAAUGGGCGCAAGCCUGAUCCAGCCAUGCCGCGUGGAUUAUGAAGGCCCUAGGGUUGUAAAGUCCUUUUAACGGGGAAGAUAAUGACGGUACCCGUAGAAUAAGCCCCGGCUAACUUCGUGCCAGCCGCCGCGGUAA